CCCAGUAAAGCAGAGGCUCUGUAAGAGACUCAUGGCAGCCCUUCCCCCCCAUACCUCUAACCAAUGACCUCAGGGGCCUCGGGGACUGCAAAAGAUGCACCAUAUAACUCGCGUUGGAUCCUGUUCCAUCCCUUUCAAAAACUAGGGAGAGAAAGACCUCCCCAAGUAAGGAUUCUGUCACAAUGUGGCUCGUUUCAAAAGAACCUGCACCAUGCCCAGAACAGGGACAGAAAGUAACUUAUCCAGAAUCCCACAGAUGGUGGAGGAACAAGAAAGGCUGUCCAGGCUUCCGCACUAGGUCAGAAGUCCAUCGCCUUCAUCUACCUGAGUAUCCUAUAUGUAAAAAUACUCCAGGCCCCACCCCUCCUGCUUGGAACACAGCAUCA